rfam:TPA: Bos taurus chromosome 17, whole genome shotgun sequence.
UCCCUUAUGGUCCAGUGGCUAAGACUCUGUUCUCCCAAUGCAGGGGGCCUGGGUUUGAUCCCUGGUCAGAGAA